GAUGAGCGCUGGCGGCGUGCCUAAUACAUGCAAGUCGAACGCAUUGUGGUUGAAAUGAUAUGAAGAACUUGUUCAGAUUUGAUUUUCAACAUUGCAAAGAGUGGCGAACGGGUGAGUAACACGUGGGAAACCUACCUCUUAGCAGGGGAUAACAUUUGGAAACAAAUGCUAAUACCGUAUAAUAAUUAAAACCGCAUGGUUUUAGUUUAAAAGAUGGUCUUGCUAUCACUAAGAGAUGGUCCCGCGGUGUAUUAGUUAGUUGGUGAGGUAAUGGCUCACCAAGACAAUGAUACAUAGCCGAGUUGAGAGACUGACCGGCCACAAUGGGACUGAGACACGGGCCCAUACUCCUACGGGAGGCAGCAGUAGGGAAUCUUCCACAAUGGACGAAAGUCUGAUGGAGCAACGCCGCGUGUGUGAUGAAGGUUUCGGCUCGUAAAACACUGUUGUAAGAGAAGAAUGACAUUGAGAGUAACUGUUCAAUGUGUGACGGUAUCUUAACC
rnacentral:rRNA from 1 species